rnacentral:rRNA from 1 species
ACCAUGAAGAGUUUGAUCCUGGCUCAGGAUGAACGCUAGCGGCAGGCUUAAUACAUGCAAGUCGAACGGUAAAUAUUGAGCAAUCAAUAUGAGAGUGGCGCACGGGUGAGUAACACGUAUGUAACCUACCUCUAACCGGAGAAUAGCUUCGAGAAAUCGAAAUUAAUAUUCCAUAAUAUCUGAUAGCGGCAUCGUUAACAGAUUAAAGCUCAGGCAGUUAGAGAUGGGCAUGCGGUCCAUUAGCUAGUUGGUGGUGGUAAUGGCCCACCAAGGCUACGAUGGAUAGCUGGUCUGAGAGGAUGAUCAGCCACACUGGCACUGAGACACGGGCCAGACUCCUACGGGAGGCAGCAGUAGGGAAUAUUGGGCAAUGGGCGAAAGCCUGACCCAGCCAUGCCGCGUGCAGGAUUGAAAGCUCUAUGAGUCGUAAACUGCUUUUGUCUGGGACGAAAAUAACUUUUCUAAGUGAAUUGACGGUACCAGACGAAUAAGGACCGGCUAACUACGUGCCAGCAGCCGCGGUAAUACGUAGGGUCCAAGCGUUAUCCGGAUUUACUGGGUUUAAAGGGUGCGUAGGUGGUUUGAUAAGUUAGUGGUGAAAUCUUCCGGCUUAACCGGAAAACUGCCAUUAAAACUAUCUUACUUGAGUGUAGCCGAGGCGAGUGGAAUGUAUCAUGUAGCGGUGAAAUGCUUAGAUAUGAUACAGAACACCAAUUGUGAAGACAGCUCGCUAGACUAUUACUGACACUGAGGCACGAAAGCGUGGGGAGCAAACAGGAUUAGAUACCCUGGUAGUCCACGCCCUAAACGAUGAACACUAGACGUGUGUGGCUUAGCUAUACGUGUCCAAGCGAAAGCGUUAAGUGUUCCACCUGGGGAGUACGGCCGCAAGGUUAAAACUCAAAGGAAUUGACGGGGGCCCGCACAAGCGGAGGAGUAUGUGGUUUAAUUCGAUGAUACGCGAGGAACCUUACCUGGGCUAGAAUGCGCGUGACGAUCACCGAAAGGUGGUUUCUCUUCGGAGCACAAAGCAAGGUGCUGCAUGGCUGUCGUCAGCUCGUGCCGUGAGGUGUCGGGUUAAGUCCCUCAACGAGCGCAACCCCUAUCCUUAGUUGCUAACAGGUCCGCUGAGCACUCUAAGGAAACUGCCUGCGUAAGCAGUGAGGAAGGAGGGGAUGACGUCAAGUCAGCACGGCCUUUAUGUCCAGGGCUACACACAUACUACAAUGGUUGCUACAGAGGGCUGCCACCUGGCGACAGGGAGCCAAUCCCUAAAAGCAACCUCAGUUCGGAUUGGAGUCUGCAACUCGACUCCAUGAAGUUGGAUUCGCUAGUAAUCGCAUAUCAGCAAUGGUGCGGUGAAUACGUUCCCGGGCCUUGUACACACCGCCCGUCAAGCCAUGGGAGUCGAAGGUACCUGAAGUCGAUGACCGAAAGGAGUUGCCCAAGGUAAAUUCGAUGACUGGGGCUAAGUCGUAACAAGGUAGCCGUACCGGAAGGUGCGGCUGGAACACCUCCUUUUUAGAG